AUACGUAGGGUGCAAGCGUUAAUCGGAAUUACUGGGCGUAAAGCGUGCGCAGGCGGUUUUUUAAGACAGAGGUGAAAUACCCGGGCUCAAACUGGGAACUGCCUUUGUGAAUGCAAGGAUAGAGUACGGCAGAGGGGGAUGGAAUUUCGAGUGUACCAGGGAAAAGCGUAGAUAUGAGGAGGAACACCGAUGGCGAAGGCAAUCCCCUGGGCCUGUACUGACGCUCAUGCACGAAAGCGUGGGGAGCAAACAGGAUUAGAUACCCUGGUAGUCCACGCCCUAAACGAUGUCAACUGGUUGUUGGGUCUUCAUUGACUCAGUAACGAAGCUAACGCGUGAAGUUGACCGCCUGGGGAGUACGGCCGCAAGGUUGAAACUCAAAUGAAUUGACGGGG
rnacentral:rRNA from 1 species